AGCUCAUUGAAUCAGGCAAGAAAUUCUUUACUAAGCUCAAAAGAAAGCUCAAAGACACUAUUAAUUUCAAUAAAGAUGAAUUUGUUGAAAUUUUGAAUCUGUUUCUUGAGAAAAUUGGGGAGAAGUUUGGGAUUUCUGUUGGAGUUGAUUCUUCAGAUAAUGGCUAUACUCAGGUCUUGAUUGAAAAGGUGGGGUUUUUGAUGGGUAGAGAUGUGGCAGGAUUGGUUUUGGAAGCGUGUGUUAGGUUGGAGAUUUGGGAUUUGGUG
rnacentral:misc_RNA from 1 species